GAUCCGCGGACACUAGCUGUGGGGCGGGCACUCAAAUUUCCCGGGCCCGGAGCGCGGGGCGUCCCGGGAAGGUCAGGACGGUUACCCAGCCUCCCGUGGCGGCCGCAGCGGAUCCUGAGUCCGCUGUCGCGCGUGGGCUUAGAUAUGCAGAGCACAGACCUGGGCAACAAGGAGAGCGGCAAGAUAUGGCACCGCAAGCCAAACCCUGCUGCUCGGGACGGAAUUAUAGUGAACAUCAUUCACAGCACUUCUGAUUAUCUUCCAAAAGUUUCGCGGUUUUUGAAUGUGGCUUUUGAUAGCUCAGGUGAUUGCUUAAUUGCUGGGGACCAUCAAGGAAAUAUCUAUGUUUUUGACUUGUAUACAAACAGGUUUAACAUUGUUCAGCGAACAGCGCAAGCUUGCACAGCUCUGGCCUUUAACCUUCGUAGGAGGUCUGAAUUCCUUGUGGCAUUAGCUGAUUAUUCUAUUAAAUGUUUUGAUACAGUUACCAAGGAGCUAGUUAGCUGGAUGAGAGGACAUGAGUCGUCAGUAUUUGCAAUCUCCGUGCAUGCAUCUGGGAGGUAUGCCAUCACUACUUCUUCUGAUACCGCACAGCUCUGGGACUUGGAUACCUUUCAGAGAAAAAGAAAGCUGAAUAUUCGCCAAUCAGUGGGUAUACAAAAGGUUUUCUUUCUACCAUUAAGUAAUACCAUCCUCAGCUGUUUUAAAGAUAAUUCCAUCUUUGCCUGGGAAUGUGAUACUCUCUUUUGCAAAUAUCAAUUGCCAGCUCCACCUGAAAGCUCUAGUGUGUUAUACAAAGUGUUUGCUGUGACCAGAGAUGGUCGAAUCCUAGCUGCUGGCGGCAAAUCAAAUCAUCUUCAUUUGUGGUGCUUGGAAGCUAAACAACUGUUUAGAAUCAUCCAGAUGCCUGCUAAAGUCCGAGCCAUUCGCCAUCUAGAAUUUCUUCCUGAUAGUUUUGAUGCUGGUUCUCAUCAGGUUCUUGGAGUGCUAAGUCAAGAUGGUAUUAUGAGGUUUAUCAAUAUACAGACUUGUAAACUUCUCUUUGAAAUUGGGAGCCUUGACGAGGGAAUUAGCUCAUCAGUAAUUAGCCCACAUGGACGAUACGUUGCAUCAAUUAUGGAAAAUGGAAGUCUGAACAUAUAUUCAGUUCAGGCUCUAACCCAAGAAAUAAAUAAGCCACCUCCUCCCUUAGUGAAAGUGAUUGAAGAUUUACCCAAGAGCAAACUGAACUCCAGUGAUCUUAAGAUGAAAGUAACGUCAGGAAGGGUACGGCGGCCAACAAAAUCAAGGGAGAGCAAAACACAAACAAGGAUAUUAAAACAAGACCUGACUGGUAAUUUUGAAAAUAAAGAGAAUGAAUUGUCAGAUGGAUUAAACAAAAAGCGCCUACAAAUCUUAUUGAAGGGCUACGGUGAAUAUCCAACGAAAUAUAGAAUGUUCAUUUGGCGUUCUCUGCUACAACUGCCUGAAAAUCAUACUGCGUUUAGUAGCCUGGUAGAUAAGGGCGUUCAUGUGGCCUUUCUCAACCUGCAGAAGAAAUACCCUAUCAAAAGUAGAAAACUACUCAGAGUAUUACAGAGAACGCUAUCUGCAUUAGCUCACUGGUCUGCCAUCUUUAGUGACACGCCGUAUCUUCCACUCUUGGCAUUUCCGUUUGUAAAAUUAUUCCAGAACAAUCAACUCAUCUGCUUUGAAGUUGUUGCUACUCUCAUAAUCAAUUGGUGUCAACACUGGUUUGAAUAUUUUCCUAAUCCUCCUAUCAAUAUUCUUAGUAUGAUAGAAAAUGUUUUGGCUUUUCAUGACAAAGAGCUGCUACAGCACUUCGUGGACCAUGAUAUAACUUCCCAGCUAUAUGCAUGGCCACUUCUUGAAACCGUGUUCUCAGAAGUACUGACAAGAGAGGAGUGGCUGAAAUUAUUCGAUAAUGUCUUUUCCAACCAUCCUUCAUUCCUCCUGAUGGCUGUUGUCGCCUACAACAUAUGUUCCAGAGCGCCUUUGCUCAACUGUAAUCUCAAAGAUGAUUUCGAGUAUUUUUUUCACCAUCGGAACAACCUGGAUAUAACUGUUGUCAUUCGAGAAGUUUACCACCUAGCAGAUACCACUCCUGCUGAUAUUCACCCAGAGAGCAUGCUUGACGUUUUUGUCGCGCUGACAAAAGGGCAGUAUCCAGUAUUUAAUCAAUAUCCCAAGUUUAUUGUGGAUUAUCAGACACAGGAACGAGAAAGAAUAAGGAAUGAUGAAUUGGAUUACCUAAGAGAGAGGCAGACAGUUGAAGAUAUGCAAGCUGAAGUAGACCAGCAAAAAGCUGAAGAUGAAGCUUGGUACCAAAAGCAAGAACUGCUUCGUAAAGCUGAAGAAACAAGAAGAGAAAUUCUCUUUCGAGAAGAAGAGAAGAUGCUGGAACAAAGACAGAGACUAGCUGCUGUGAAGAGGGAGCUGAAAAGAAAAGAGAUACACUUACAAGAUGCUGCCAGAAGGCGUUUUCAGAAGCAACAGCAAGACCAACGUGAAAUGGAACUAAGAAGACUGGAUGAUGAAAUUGAAAGAAAGGUCUGUAUGAGAGAUCAAGAAAUGGCUACCACAGCCCAAGACCUAGAAAUGAGAAACCUGGAACUCGAAUCACAAAAGAGACUUUUUGAGAAGAAACUUACUAGAAAUCAAGAAGCUGCUGCCAAAGAAAUGAGAGAAGAUACAGAUGCCUACAGACGAAAAGUAGAGCUUGAAGAACACACGUUUCAUAAACUCUUGGAAACCAACCAAGCUCAGAGCCUGAAAGCUCAGAAGUUAAUUGAAGAGAAUUUGGCAAAUGCUGAACAAGCAUGCAUAGAUGCUGACUGGCGAUUUCAAGCUUUACAUAAACAAAGAUGUGAUGCUUUCCAACGAAACGAAUGUUACCAGGAAGUAGCCAGACUCCUUCGGAAUAACAGAAGGAAAGAAAUAGAGGUAUUAAAUGCAAUGAUGGGGGCGGAAGCUGAAAAGCGGGAGGAAGCUGAAGAAAAAGAGUUUCGUUUGAGAUCAGAAAAGAGAGCUUCUGCUCUUUCAGAUGCGUCUAGAAAGUGGUUUUUAGAACAGGAGCUAAGUGACGCUUUGGAUCAUGCCAAAAAUCCGCAUUGUGAAGUUUCUUUAAAUCGAAGAAAACUAGACUGGGACACCACAGAACAAGAUCUUACGGAGAAAGUGAGAAAUCUUCGCCAGAGACUCACCGCUCAGGCUCGUAGCAGAUGUCAGACCCCUCAUCUCCUGACCACAUAGGAGGUGUGUCACCCCAAGACAGUGAGAGAGACCCACUUUGCAAUCACUGAUGCUGAUUUUUAGAUUAUUUAUUUUAAAAACCUAUUAAGAUUAGCUUUUAUAUAGGAAAAAAAAUGUGUCCAUAACAAUUAUGUAUCCUAUUUAAUUCUGAUGCUUUUUUGGCUUGUAAAUAGCUUCUUGUACUUUUCACUAUAAAAUUUUUUUUGAAAUAUUAAAACUCGUGUAAGCUCUUCCAAGUGGCAAGGACCAGUAUACACAUCAGUAAUUUUCGUAGACGAAGGUUUAUUUAAAAGAUAAACGGAGAAAUAACCAUCUCAACAGCUGCAUAACCUGGACUGAGAGAACUCUGGGCACCAACAACGUGGAUUGGCCUAAACUCCAGUCUGUCUGUCCUAGCAGCAGGCACUGCCCUGAAUGAUCCCACUGCCCUACCAUCGGCAUCUCUGCCACUGCUUCUCCAGCUUCUCCUAUCCGUCUGCCUGCUUCUCCGGACACGCUGCCUUUCCACGCGUCUUAGCUCCACCAGCGCUGCUCAGGACUUCAGCACCUUAGGCAGAUACCUUACUCUCGCCACUUCUGCGAGUAGGAUAGAGAUCGCUCUUGGACGUGUACAAAGUUCCUGGUCCAGUGUUUGGCAUAUAGGUUUCUCUCCAGUGGUGAGUAAGUGUUGGCCUUCGUCUGAGCCUUUCUCUACACUUCACAGAGCUUCUGUCCAGGAUGAAUUCGAAGAUGUUGAAUAAGUUAUUAAGCUUGGCUAAAGGCCUCUUCACAUUCAUUACAUUUAUGGGUUUUUUCUUCAGUGUUUAGUCUCCAAUGUCAAGACUUGAGCAUUUGAUAAUGGCCUUCCCAUAGUGAUUACACAUUGAUCAUUAUGCCAGUAAUGGUGACUAUACCCAAAAGAACUCCCGACUCACCUGCUACAGAACAGAACUGCUCCAUAGGGUUUUUUUGGUUAUAAUCUUUAUGGAAGCUAAGUGCCCAGACCUUUCUUCCGUGGUACUGCUGGGUGGGUUCCAAUAGCCAACUUUAGCUUAGCUGUUAGGCGCCAAGUCCAUUUCUGCUCAUAGCAACCCCAUGUGACAGAGCUAGUAGUUGAGCACCACCCAGGGACCUAAUGAUGACUACAAGGACUAGAUAAGGCUUCAUUAUUGAUAUGGGUACACUUAUCAGAGAUUCUAAAUUUAAUGUGUAACCUUUUAUCAGUCUGGGACCAAUCUGGAGACAAACCACACAAUAAUUUGAAUAGAGAAAGUUUAAUAUAAAGAGUUAUUAAACUAUAAUAAGGGAGUAACUACAAAGCUGUAAAGAGAUUGCUGAAGGAUACCUAGGGCUAAGGAAGAGUACCCAAGGAAGGACAAACUUGGAAGUGAAGCCCCUCCCAAAGCUUAGGCUCAGACCAUGUCAAGGAGGUGUGGUUGCAGACCACUGGAUAGUGGCAAAGUUCUCCAGGUUGCCCAGACCAGAGCUGGUCCACAGUCCCCGGGCAGCAGGAGACAACUCUCUGGAGAUAGGUCAGGUCUCAGGGACCCUGCCACACUAUAAACCACCGAGAUCUUGAACAUCCUUUCCCCCACAGCACUACAUCAAUGAUGAUGUGCUGAUCGAAUCUGAUAAGUAGGAAGUAGCAAAUACUUCAGAUGCUUAGAAAUACGUGUUUGAACAAGAGGAUGAAAGAUAAACCCCACAAAAAUUCAGAGUCCUUCCAUUUCAUUUGUUUCUGGGGGUUCAAUGGUCUGGAUGGAGUAUGCAGAGAUACCACCUUCGACGAAAGACACGUUGCUACACCUUGUACCACCUACCACUAAAGAAAGAGGCACACCCCUUGAUGGGCCUUUUUGGAUUUGGAGGCAACAUACUCUACACCCGAGUGUGCUACUUUGACCCACUUAACUAAAGAUUCCUAAGUCUGCCAGUUUUGAGUGGGGAUCAGAACCAGAGAAGCCGCCUCAGAAAAUCCAGGCUGCAAAGCAAGAUGCUCUUCCGCUUAGGCCUGGUGAGCACUAACGGGAGAAUCACAGCGCAGACGUUUACGCUUUGGGAGCAAAUCCAUGUCCUCAUCAGGUAACUGUUCUCCUUUUAAGAAAUAGCUCCAGGCUUGCUAUUAGCCCUUUGUAGACACUGAACACUUAUCCAUGGAAUGUCAAGUAGCUGUGUGACCUGAGCUUCCUCUCAGGAAUUGGGAGUAUCUGACACACCUAGCCAGCCAUAACGCUGGGGACACACAGCACCAGUCUAUUGUCAGUUGGAAAUGGCAUAUGAGAUUGGGCUUAAGUACGUCCUGAAGGCACAACAACUAAAUUGCAUGAGCUGAUUGCUGCUAUAUCUCCUCUU